UUGGCUUAGAAGCAGCCAUCAUUUAAAGAAAGCGUAAUAGCUCACUGGUCGAGUCGGCCUGCGCGGAAGAUGUAACGGGGCUAAACCAUGCACCGAAGCUGCGGCAGCGACGCUUAUGCGUUGUUGGGUAGGGGAGCGUUCUGUAAGCCUGUGAAGGUGUGCUGUGAGGCAUGCUGGAGGUAUCAGAAGUGCGAAUGCUGACAUAAGUAACGAUAAAGCGGGUGAAAAGCCCGCUCGCCGGAAGACCAAGGGUUCCUGUCCAA
rnacentral:rRNA from 1 species